AGCGGCGAGUGAAGCGGCAGAGCUCAGAUUUGAAAUCGCCUCGGCGAGUUGUAAAUUGCAGGUUGGAGUCUUUGUGGCGGCGUGUGUCUAAGUCCCUUGGAACAGGGCGCCAUUGAGGGUGAGAGCCCCGUGCGGCACGCGCCCAAGCUUUAAGACCCUUCUGACGAGUCGAGUUGUUUGGGAAUGCAGCUCUAAGUGGGUGGUAAAUUCCAUCUAAGGCUAAAUACUGGCGAGAGACCGAUAGCGAACAAGUACUGUGAAGGAAAGAUGAAAAGCACUUUGAAAAGAGAGUGAAACAGCACGUGAAAUUGUUGAAAGGGAAGGGUAUUGGGCUCGACAUGGGGACUGCGCACCGUUGCUUCUUGUAGGCGGCGCUCUGUGCGGUUUCUGGGCCAGCAUCAGUUUUUGCCGCGGGAGAAUGGGGGGAGGAACGUGGCUCUUCGGAGUGUUAUAGCCUCUCUCAGAUGCCGCGAGCGGGGACUGAGGUCUGCGAUUCGUUCAAGGAUGCUGGCACAACGGCGCAAUACCGCCCGUCUUGAACCCCGGACCAA
rnacentral:rRNA from 1 species